AGUGAACGCUGGCGGUAGGCCUAACACAUGCAAGUCGAACGGCAGCACAGUAAGAGCUUGCUCUUACGGGUGGCGAGUGGCGGACGGGUGAGGAAUACAUCGGACUCUACUUUUUCGUGGGGGAUAACGUAGGGAAACUUACGCUAAUACCGCAUACGACCUACGGGUGAAAGCAGGGGAUCUUCGGACCUUGCGCGAUUGAAUGAGCCGAUGUCGGAUUAGCUAGUUGGCGGGGUAAAGGCCCACCAAGGCGACGAUCCGUAGCUGGUCUGAGAGGAUGAUCAGCCACACUGGAACUGAGACACGGUCCAGACUCCUACGGGAGGCAGCAGUGGGGAAUAUUGGACAAUGGGCGCAAGCCUGAUCCAGCCAUACCGCGUGGGUGAAGAAGGCCUUCGGGUUGUAAAGCCCUUUUGUUGUGAAAGAAAAGCAGCAGGUUAAUACCCCGCUGUUCUGACGGUACCCAAAGAAUAAGCACCGGCUAACUUCGU
rnacentral:rRNA from 1 species